rnacentral:rRNA from 1 species
CCUACGGGAGGCAGCAGUGGGGAAUAUUGCGCAAUGGGCGAAAGCCUGACGCAGCGACGCCGCGUGAGGGAUGAAGGUCUUCGGAUCGUAAACCUCUGUCAGCAGGGAAGAACGGUCACUGUGCUAAUCAGCAGUGAAUUGACGGUACCUGCAAAGGAAGCAUCGGCUAACUCCGUGCCAGCAGCCGAGGUAAUACGGAGGGUGCGAGCGUGAAUCGGAAUUACUGGGCGGAAAGCGAUCGUAGGUGGUAUGUCAAGUCAAGGGUGAAAUCCGAGCGCGCAACGUGGGAACUGCCUUUGAAACUGGCAAACGUGAGUGUGUGAGAGGAUAGUGGAAUUCCAGGUGUAGGAGUGAAAGUCGUAGAUA